rnacentral:rRNA from 1 species
AAUAGAUACCCAGGUAGUCCACGCCGUAAACGAUGAGUGCUAAGUGUUAGGGGGUUUCCGCCCCUUAGUGCUGCAGCUAACGCAUUAAGCACUCCGCCUGGGGAGUACGGUCGCAAGACUGAAACUCAAAGGAAUUGACGGGGGCCCGCACAAGCGGUGGAGCAUGUGGUUUAAUUCGAAGCAACGCGAAGAACCUUACCAGGUCUUGACAUCCCAUUGACCACUAUGGAGACAUAGUUUUCCCUUCGGGGACAACGGUGACAGGUGGUGCAUGGUUGUCGUCAGCUCGUGUCGUGAGAUGUUGGGUUAAGUCCCGCAACGAGCGCAACCCUUGUUCUUAGUUGCCAUCAUUUAGUUGGGCACUCUAAGGAGACUGCCGGUGACAAACCGGAGGAAGGUGGGGAUGACGUCAAAUCAUCAUGCCCCUUAUGACCUGGGCUACACACGUGCUACAAUGGACGGUACAAACGGUUGCCAACCGCGAGGGGAGCUAAUCCGAUAAAACCGUUCUCAGUUCGGAUUGUAGGCUGCAACUCGCCUACA